CGGAUUGCAGCCUGCAACUCGGCUGCAUGAAGCUGGAAUCGCUAGUAAUCGCGGAUCAGAAUGCCGCGGUGAAUACGUUCCCGGGUCUUGUACACACCGCCCGUCACACCAUGGGAGCCGGAAACGCCCGAAGCCAGCGGCCCAACCGCAAGGGGGGAGCUGUCGAAGGCGGGUCCGGUGACCGGGGUGAAGUCGUAACAAGGUAGC
rnacentral:rRNA from 1 species